AAAACCCAAAGGCGAAAUGAAAGUAAAUAGCGGAAUUAAUGAUUUUAUUGAAAUUAUUUCAAUGUUAUCAUUUUUUCCCUAUAGGGAAGAUGGAAAGCUUAUUAGUUUUUAUAUCAAUUUAUAGCGCAAGCUUUAAGUUGUUAUUGUUUUUAACUAAUUAAGAUUUCUCGCACUCCCGGGGCGCUUGAUUCUCGCUUUGCGAGUCAGUGCGCACCUAGAGCGUACACGCUGAUACCCGAAAGAUGGUGAACUAUGCCUGGCCAGGACGAAGCCAGGGGAAACCCUGGUGGAGGUCCGCAGCGAUUCUGACGUGCAAAUCGAUCGUCGGAGCUGGGUAUAGGGGCGAAAGACCAAUCGAACCAUCUAGUAGCUGGUUCCCUCUGAAGUUUCCCUCAGGAUAGCUUGCGCUCGGUUGAGAAGAGUCUCAUCCGGUAGAGCGAAUGAUUAGAGGCAUUGGGGUCGAAACGACCUCAACCUAUUCUCA
rnacentral:rRNA from 1 species